AGUGAUUGUAGAAGUGGGUAUGAUGCUGAGUGAUUUAACAGAAGGCUUGGACCUGUGUGGUGGAAAAAAGGUCUUCAAUACCUCAGAAGCAUCUCAGUAUCAUGAAGGAAUGGUGGCACAUAAACAGGUAACGUAGGCAUGUGCCAGCUUCAUCACAUGUGGAUGCGCCAGCUAGUCAGGUGCCAGAAAGCCUGGGAAGAAAGAGAAGUGAGUCUCUGCUACACACUAUCCCUCAUGCAAGACACUAUAAUGGAGCCACUGGCCUGUCACUUUUCACUACAAGAAGGAAUAGGAAGAGGCCCAAGUCCUGGGCAGCUAUUUGCAUGGACACGUGCUGCAAAUUCUGAGGGAACAGCAUGGUUUCCCUUUGCUUUUGGCUCCAUUUUGGUCUGACACAGGAAGCAGAGGUUAGGGCCAUGCAGUGCAAGAUCCACGUGCUUCUGGUUCGAUCCAACUCCAGGACAGCAACUAGUGCUCCCAUGGCAUGAAUAAGAGUGACCGUGCCCUGUGUGUGCCCGUAGCCCUGGCUGUUAAGGAGCCCUUGGGGGUGGUGUGAACUGGAAGGCUCUCCAUGGUUUUGCAAGAGACAAUGAGUGCUCAGCGAGGAGGACAGCUUUGGCCGAUGUGCUGCUGUGUUCAGGGUGCUGGUUAGACAGCUUUAUAUGAACGUAUAGAGUGGGAAUGAAAACCUUUAGGUAGAGGAACAGGUUCAUUGCAAGCAGUAGGUUCAAGGGAUCAUACUUCUGGCACAAAACAAGUGGGAAGAAAAUCUUAUUGAGUCUCUUUACAGUUCUUCAGAAGGAGUAAAAGAAAAGGCUAACCUUUGAAAACAUUUUCACCAAUUACUUGGCUAUCCCAUGACAUCAGAACUCUCAGUUUCUAUAGUCCUUUGAAGAACAACAUUGCUAAUAACUAACCUCAUGUCUUUCAUCAUCCCAAAUUUUACUUUGAGCCUCCAAGGAAAAUCACAAUUUCCCCUCUGCAAAGCUUUGCUUUGAAUUUUAUAGUCUGAAUUUUUUUUAUUUAGGAUAAUGUGAGGGUGUUCUGGGAGACCAAAAAAAUAUUUGCAAGACACUUGGAUUAAUUGUAUGGAUAGCAUUUUAACUGUUCACCAUCAUUGCAGAUUUAUGCACAAAUGUGAUGCGUGUCAUGGACACAAUGUACAGGAUGUACCUAAAUAUUCAGGUGCAUUGUUUUUAAUGCACAAGCAGAAAGCAUACAUCCAGGCUGUAUGACAGAUUCCCAUAGUUCAAAGGUGCUGAGAAAUAUGAUAUUUGCACACACAUUUGCCCUUCUUCCAGCAGUGUGCUUUUUGGUGUCAGUGAUAUUAACUCACUUUUAAAACAUCCAGAAGUUUAAGAAUGCUUCCAGGAGUAGCUGCAGAAUGUCCUUACACUAGAGUAACCUUGGUAAGAGAGGAGGGGCUUUAUCUCUAGGACAGCACGCUCCUUACUUGUGCAUAGGCUUGGAUCUAGUGGUACGCAGUAAAUGCUGAGAUGUGGGUGGUGACUAGACUUCAAGCACCCAGGAGUGCUCGAGAUGUACUCAAAAGAAGGGCCUAAUCGUGUGAACAGCGGGUGUAGAUCUUCUAUAGACC